rnacentral:lncRNA from 1 species
CAACACGUGUGCGAAAAACGUGUAUAAAAACUAGGGAAGUUUCCUUAGUUCUUUAAACUCUUAUUUUGUCAUUAAUUUAUUUAAUUGCCUAAGAGUUUUAUUAACAAGGAAUUUCUUUGACUAAGACUUUCCUUGUUUACAUAACUCUUCUUUUCCUUACGUAAAGAUUUGUAUCUAACCUAAUGGGCUCUAAUCUUGUAGGGCUCUACUAAUUCAAGUAAGGAAGUAUAAGAAGGGCAGCAUCAACGUGAUUAUACGUUGUCCCUUUUAUUUGAGAGAAAAACUUUUUCUGCUCUUACGUUGCUGCUCCUGAGUUGUGAUCUUAUUCGAGAAGAAAAACACAGCAAAAGAUUUGCUUCUUUCACGCGAAAAGAAGAUCGGUUC